GAAAGCUAUCCUAAGUAUCAGUUGUAAAAGUAGCCUAAGAAUGCUCAAUACGCAUUCAGCAGAAUAGCUUAAGCCUAAAUUUUUGUCGGGGAAAUAAACAAUGGAUUGGUUUCUUUCGCCCAAAAUCGUGAUGGAAAUAAAGUCCAUCCAGUGAAGACGUCAGGUUCCAGGAUUGCAUAACCACUCCGGAACAUAAUCCGUGUUUUGUACGUAGAAUAUCGUUCUUAUAUUGUUUUGAUUGGUCACACGUGCACUUCCUGUUUUGAAGACAGUCACUUCCGGUGCAAAUCACAAGACGAAUUAGCUAGACUCAUGAAUGGCGACUGUCAGAUGUUUUUUAUCCUUAUUUGUGAUCGUUUUUACAACGAUCCUAUCAUGGACUGUUGUUAUUAUGAUCGACUUUUAUUCUGGCCAUGGCAAGAGCUUGACCCCUCAUAAAUUAUCAGAUAAUCCGCCGUUCCCCGGCGGGAAAAUGAACAAUUUAUUUUGGAUUGUACAGGUACUGUUCAAUAUACUUGUGUGUGAAUAUUAAAAUCUUGUAUAUUAUUAUAUUUUUGUUGCAGAAUAUAUUUUAAUUAAGUGUCAUAUUCAUGCGAGUAAUUUUAUUAUAGAUAAAAGCGAGGUCACUUUCAAGUGGUCAAACCUUUCGUUGUUAUGUCUUCGAAAUAAAAAUAUCUAAACAAAGUUAACAAACCGUACAUUGUAAACAAAAAUAAGUAUAUAUCGU